rnacentral:rRNA from 1 species
GAUCCUGGCUCAGGACGAACGCUGGCGGCGUGCUUAACACAUGCAAGUCGAACGGGGCAUAGAGAUAUGCCUAGUGGCGGACGGGUGAGUAACACGUGAGCAACCUAUCCUAUACAACGGGAUAACACAGAGAAAUUUGUGCUAAUACGGUAUAAGACCACACUCCGGCAUCGGAGAGGGGUAAAAGCUGAGGCGGUAUAGGAGGGGCUCGCGGCCCAUUAGCUAGUUGGAGAGGUAACGGCU